rnacentral:rRNA from 1 species
CAGGGCAAUGUGGUGUUGAGGCGUGCACCUGGGAUCAUGCGCUGUCCCUAAGUCCAACUUUGAUUGUGGCUUCGGAAAACGUACCUAAGCGGGUGAAAGUCCCGUUCGGGAUGGUUGCGUGGUCCUCAGAUGUGUGCGCUUUCGAGUCGGAUUGCUUGAGAAUGCAGUCCAAAGUGGGUGGUAAACUCCAUCCAAGGCUAAAUACUGGCACGAGUCCGAUAGUAAACAAGUACCGUGAGGGAAAGUUGAAAAGUACUCUGAAGAGAGAGUAAAUAGUACGUGAAACCAAUUGCAGGGAAGCUGGUGGAGUCAAGCCUCGUGCUUGGGGAAUUGUCGCGCGGAGUGUGAUGUGUGCUUGGCGCACUGCCGGUCAAUGUGGAAAGAAUUGGGUGGCUUCGGUCGCUUCAAGUCAAUCCGGGUUGCAUGUUUGGACCGGUGGUUGUGUCUUGCUCUGCGUGCUCUAUUCCUCGCUGCACAAAUCACGGUCAGUGGUGGCGUGCGGUGUGAUGGUCUAACUGUGCUUUGGUGGACGCAAGUUUGCCGGGUGCAGGAUGGCAGGUUCCGAGCCGUGUCUUUUGGCAUCGGUCUCGGCUAUAGUGGUUUCGACCAGCUGACUGUCACGUGGUAGUGCUGCUGCUGUACUUGAACGGUGCGCUCUCGUGAGACUGUGUGCCGGUAAGAACCGUGAUUCUGGGGUAGAUGUUCCAUCCGACCCGUCUUGAAACACGGACCAAGGAGUUUAACACGUACGCGAGUCAAUGGGAUGUUCAACGAAACCCAAAGGCGCAAUGAAAGUGAACGGCAGCUUCUGCUGUCCGAGGUGUGAUUCCGGCUUGCCCUCACAAGGCGGUUGGACGCAGCACCGGCCCGUCUCGUAAUGUAGUCAUCCUGGCCACGGUCGGGGUGCGGCAUUGAGGCGGUGCAAGAGCGUACGUGUUGAGACCCGAAAGAUGGUGACCUAUACUUGCGUAGGUUGAAGCCAGAGGAAACUCUGGUGGAGGACCGAAGCGGUUUUGACGUGCAAAUCGAUCGUCGAACGUGAGUAUAGGGGCGAAAGACUAAUCGAACCAUCUAGUAGCUGGUUCCCUCCGAAGUUUCCCUCAGGAUAGCUGGCACUCAUCAACAGUUUUAUUCGGUAAAGCCAAUGAUUAGAGGUAUUGGGGACUAAUAGUCCUCAACCUAUUCUCAAACUAUUAAUGGGUACGAUGCUCGACUCGCUCGAAUGGAGCCGAGCAUUGAAUGUGAGUGCCAAGUGGGCCAUUUUUGGUAAGCAGAACUGGCGCUGUGGGAUGCUCCGAACGUUCGGUUAAGGUGCCCAACGUGACGCUCAUGAGAUACCAGAAAAGGUGUUAAUGCAUAUAGACAGCAGGACGGUGGCCAUGAAAGUCGGAAUCCGCUAAGGAGUG